UACGGGGGGGGCAAGCGUUGUUCGGAAUUACUGGGCUUAAAGAGUUCGUAGGCGGCGCAGAAAGUAGGGUGUGAAAGCCCUCGGCUCAACCGAGGAAUUGCGCUCUAAACUACUGUGCUUGAGGACCUAGAGGUGAGCAGAACUGAUGGUGGAGCGGUGAAAUGCGUUGAUAUCAUCAGGAAUACCGGAGGCGAAGGCGGCUCACUGGGGGUUUCUGACGCUGAGGAACGAAAGCCAGGGGAGCGAACGG
rnacentral:rRNA from 1 species